rnacentral:lncRNA from 1 species
AAAAAAAAAGGUUCCACAAAGCUAUGAUUGCUUAAGGGAUGGCAUAAUAAUUAAUCACUGCCAGGACCCUCCCACAAGCCAUGUGAUUUCUCUUUUUACAUACAUUUGUUUUUUGUCCAUCCUCUAAUUGUAUACAUCAGUAGGAAUUAAUAUAGUACAAUUAUAGAAGCUAAUAAUACAAACUAAUUUUUAAAACAUGGAUCUUGGAGAAUAGAUACAAAGAUUUUGACUAAAAUAAUAAUCAGCAGAAAAAAAAGAAACAAUAAUCACGAGUUAUGGAUCUCCG